rnacentral:lncRNA from 1 species
AUGCAGACUUUUAAAAGCCCAGCAGCAAACGCAGCCGUUCUUGGAGGAGAACCUGGGGCGGCUGGAGCCGAUCGUAAUCCAGAACGAAGGGACGAGCCCGCUGUUCCUGGAGAAGGAGCCGAACCCGUUCGAGCACCUGCAGUUGCAUUCGCAAGCGCAUUCUCAGGCGCAGGCGGUCUCGGAGCUGCAGCCGACGGCGACCUCCGGCUUCGGCGCCCACCUCCUCCUCUCGGACUUCGACGAGAGCUUCCUGGCCGACCGCGCCCUCGACCUCAAGUCCGACUCCAUGGAGGGCUUCCGCCACAGCUCCAACUACCUCAAGACCCUCCUCGAGUCCUGCGUCGGCGGCCGCGCUCUCCUCACCUAUUAUCAGAGAUGCAAACAGAUAUUCGACAACAAGUACCGCUCAAAGCUGACGAACCUGAUAAUUACGGCGGAGCUGCAGAACCCGGAGCGGCGGCUGGACAAGCGGCGGUUCCAGUUCCUGGCCAACCAGAUCACCAAAGUGUUCCCGACGGAGACGGCCGACGUCUACUACCACACGGCCCUCUCCCUGGGGACCGGGAAGUACCACCCGGCCGGCGGACGCCUCUUCCACGCCUACCACAACCGGCUCAAGGACCUCAAGAAGUGCGGUCUCCUCAGGAACAACGUCCAGCGCUCUCGCGGCUCCUGAAGAACGGCCCCCGGCCCCGGACAGAGGGCCCACACUUCCGCCAUCGCCACCCUCCAGUUCAACCAGUUCUUCGAGUUCAGCCAAUAGUCACCUGCAGCGCGGCUGUAUAUUUCCGCUGGAAACCCUGGAAACCGAGCCAAGGAGAGACCCCUUACUAACCUUCUUCUGCCGUGCUAAGGAAAAACGCCGUAUGAGUCCUCAGGCGUUGCCAAAUUUUCGUUGAUAAAUCAAGAAUUUUCGGGAAAAUUUGUAAAUAUUUUUCUUCAAAUUUUUCAGGUAAUUUUGUUAGCAAUUUUACCUAAAGUUCUUGGAAAAUUUUUUGGAAAAUAUUCAUAACUUUCCUCAAAAAUAAAAAUUUUAUCGAAGGAAAUUUGGCAACUCUCGGAUGUUCAUACAGCGUUCUUCAUUAGCACGGCAGUCUUGGAGGUAUUUUAUAGGUGGAAACUUCCACUUUCGUGGAUUCCACAUUUCCAAGGGACAAAUUAAGGUAGCAACCAUCAUAAAUUUUGUGGCGGCUGUUGACCUAGCCGAGAUAGAGUACUUUUAUAGAGAGUCUCGACGUUGGUUUCCAUGGAACUCUUAGAAUCCAAAAAAAUGGGAAAUAAUCACUGAGAAAGAAAAAAAAAAAACAUCCAUGAGUCGUGGUGUAAUAUUCCAUAUUGACCGCGCUAUUCGGUUCAUGUAGUCGUGAUUUCCGGUCAAGGCAACCAAAUCUUUUCCGUGUCAUUUUAAAACUCGUAUUUUUUCACCGAAGACGUUCAUUAUCCGAGGUCGGAGUUCGGUACCUGAGCUGGAAACUUCGAUGUGCAAUUAUGAAUCAAAGUUCAGUCCUCUUAAUGAAUAUUUUUUUGUUUUGUUUUUGUGUCGGCCAGUUUUUGUUUAAUGGUUUGCAAAAAAAUACGAUGGAGUCAAAGAAAACUGAAUUGAAAGUGAAAAUUUCAAGAGCUCCUCUAGAGGGGCUUUCCUUUCCGUCUCGACUCUUGGAUCCCGUCAGCAUAUAGCUAACUGUAUUUUUGAACUUUUCUACUGUCGAACAAACAAAUAAUGCUGCAUGAGCCCUAUUCAGAGUUACAUGUGAACUGAAGAAAAUAUUUGAGUAACUUAUAUACUUUCUCACUUUCUCCACGACUUAACCUGUUACUUGUUUGUCCUACCGUAGCUUUUUACCAGGAAACCAGUUUUUAUACUUAUCAUCUGAGUCCGAUAUCCUACUCAAAGCUGUCUAUGCACACGAACCCCAAAAAGCCUCGAAUGGUGCUGAUUAUAAGACACCAUAGAACGUUUAACGUUUAGGCUUUUUUUUUUAUCUGUGAAUCAGUAUUUUCUUACUAUCUCUCCCCCCGUAACAUUUAUCACGUAUAGGAAUUAGAACAGUCAUUCGAACGUCUUGCUAACUCCAUUAGGUGAAGGAAAAAUCCAUUUUUCUAACGAAAAGAGUCAAAUAUUUAAUUUUCAAUUUUUAUUUAUUCAAUUUUUCAUUGUACAAAAUUUAAAUUUUUUUAAUGAUUUUCUUUCAAAUUCAUCGCUUAAGACAGGCCUCACUCCAGAGGCAAACCGAUGCGAAGGUGACGCAUUGAAUUAUCCAUGACGUUAAUAAUUUUAGUUUUGUUUAUAUUGAAAUGGUUAAAAGGACUUUAAAAGAACUUUUAGGUGUUGUUUUCGUCCAUUGUUUUCACUUAAGAUUACUCCUUUGAAUUUCUUUGUUUUGUGUACUUUAAGUAUGGAUUAUUCAUGAUCAUGAUUACUACCUCAGCGAUGGAGAAGUCUAGUAUUAUCACUUUAAAUGUUUUUAGAAGGUCAAGGAAUUUGAUUCAGUUAAGACGCAACUUUCUCUUAUACUCAUUGGCGACUUUCAAUUAAAAAUAAGUUUAUAUUUUAUUGAGUAUCGUACACAGUUCCUGCUAUUAGUCUAGUUGUAUUAAACGCAUUGAUACUUAUUAUUUUAUUUUCGUGUCUCGUGAAGUGUAAAAUUAUUGUACUUUAUUUAAAAAAAAAUACCCUUCUACUUAUUUAUUGUAUUGUAUUGUAUUAUUGUUUUGAUGUUAUUUUUGGUCGGAUUGUGUAACUUCUGUAGAAAACUUGGAAUUUUAUUUAUUUGUUUAUAGGCGAAAAAUGUGGAACGAUUGGUCAGUCUGAUUUAGUUGAUUUAGUUUUUCAUUUUAUCGCUGUUUAAUUUCUGUUUUAUUUAGUCUGUUGAUGCUAAUAAUCAUAACUUAAAAUACAUUUCUUCCUUAUUUAAUCCAUUAGUUUCAUUAUCCGUACUCUUAUAGGGGAGUAAUUUUCUUUUUGUGAGUACAUAUGCUUUCAUCCUCUGAUUUCCUGCUGAAACCACGUGACUCUCUUUAUGUCCAAUGCAAAAAAUCAAAGCAUCUCUGAAGAAUCAAAACAUAUUUUCAGAGUAUUAUUUAUUAAUUUUCUUUUAUUUAUUUUAAUCAUAGGCGGAUCAGGGGGGCCUAGAGGGCACAUGCCCCCUUCCCGUUCGAGCACCGAAAAAAAGAAAGAAAAGGGGGAGAAAGAAAGAAGGAAUGAAUGGGGGAAAGAAUAAGAAAGGACGCUUAUAUUUGCUAAUAGACCAUUAGACAAGAUACGAAUUUAAGCAUUCUGACACAUGGCGUUGGCUUUCCUAACGCCCUAUGCUUCCUUAUUUAAAUCCCAGUGUAAAUCAACAAAAGAAAUCGGAAUAAGAAUGACAAGAGUUACUAAUGAAUUUGACAUCGUAAAGUUGUUGUAACAGUUUGCUCAACAGUGAAGUGCCAGCGAGGUAUAGUUCUUUCAGUUUGUCAUUUAUUUUUUAUUGUAUUUUCGCUGAACAUCUUGUGUAUGUGCUGCAAUGAUUACUGAAAAAAUUCAUCUCACUCUGAUAAAUGAUCGACAAUGAGUUAGAAGUCUCUGAAUAGAAGUUUGCAUAUUUUGAAAUUCGCCGGUUUAAUGCGUUAGAAUCGUCCCAAAAGUCGGAUUGAGCCAAAUCUCUCGCCAUUGUGAAUUGUGAUUUUUUCUCGAGCCUUAAGGUUGAACCCUACAGGACUUUCAAGGACCGGAACGUAAGUAAUAAGUCGUAAUCUUUCGUAAUCGUAAUCGUGAUGUACUUUGCGAGUAUUUUGUCAGUAUUUUUCGUACUUCUUUCCGAUUUCAGAAAGUUUAGAAAAAUAGAUUCUUAAGUGAGAGAAUCUACCGCCUUGUGACGUCAUAAGACUACAUUUCCGAUUCCAACACAUGUAUUUUCGCAGAUUAGGCCAUUUUGUCGUAUCUCCUCCAAGAUUAGUUCAAUUUAGAAACCAAAUAAUGUCCUCUUGCUGAAUUCUUUUGGCCGUUUCGACUUAAGAAUGAAAUUAAUCCGAUUUCAGGCUCCUGCUAAUUCUCCAUCAUCGGAUUAUCAUUUUCGCACACUUACUUUUCAACGCACUCCAAUGAUGAAUGGCAAAUGAUUGACUCACCUCCUUGAAACGAAUUUGGAUCAUUAUCGUAUUUAUUGUUAGUAUUUUGGAGGCCAAUAUCGUUUCUUGGUAGUUGAGUUGUUUCCUUCAUCUCCUUCUCUCGUAAAAAUAGUGAGCCCUUGUGAAUUUUGAUCCUUUUCGACCCAAGAAAAUCAACGUCUCGUCCCUGCAAUUGGACGUAUUUCUGCCAAACGGAACUAUGUGCAUUAGGACAUGAGCCUUGAGACCCAUAAGAACAAUGUAUGCACAAAAGGGCCCAUGUAAUAAUGCAUAUAGUCCCGUUUGGCAAAAAUACGUCCAAUUGUAAUAAACUAUCUGAAAAAUGCUUCUUGAUUUUGUCUAAGAUAACACUCAUCGUUUGUUACUAUUGUUUCAGCCUCGGGUCGACAUGUUUGCGACUUGUGCGGCCGAUCGUACAAACAAAGAACGCAUCUGUCGAGGCACUUAAAGUACGAGUGCAACAAUGUCAUCGAAAAACCCCAGUUCCAUUGUUUUUUGUGCCCCUACACGUCUAAGCAAAAUUCGAAUGUCACAAGACAUGUAAUAAUUAAACACGGUGUUCUCCCGCAAUAAAACUCAACCUAAGUACAAUUUCUGUUCAUCAAUGGUGGAAGUUUCAAAACACGUAUCUCAACAUCAAAUCGCCGCUGUCAUUUUCAUUUAAUAAUUUGGACAAGUAAAAAUUUAUAUUCGAUGAAAUCGAUUUUGCUUGAAAUGCCCAAAGAAUAUUCUUUAGAGGAUGAGAGAAUUCAGCAAAAAUUCGAGGAGAUAAUGUUUGUUAGGUUUUUUUGUGGAAAUAUGUAAUGUGACAAAAAAACUGCAACGUCGGAAAUUGAGAUACGUAUUUUGUGACUUUCCAGAUCAAUUUCUGACUAUACAUCCGAACUUUUCGACCGCUGUCCUACCGAUUUACCGACGGCAUUGCAUUAUUUUUAGCACGAAAAGAAUAAUAUAAGAAUGAUAGAAAAAAACUUACAGGGAUCUGAGUCCAAUUUUCAAGUCUUAAAGCAUUUGCCAUGAGUAUGCAUGAGUGCCGGAAAAACUGUCACCAAUAUUAAAAAACCAAAAAUAUAAAUGAAACAUUGUUCAGCUUCCUAUAAAUCUUUGAAAUUUACUUUUUCUCUUUUUUAUCACAAUAAAGUAUUUUGGUCACAGAAAAUGAAAUUUAUUUUUUCUUUUUGUUUAGGAGGAUCCCAUUUUAAAAACACCAGUCUCUGUUUGGUCGUCGUGAAUGUCGUAAUUCAUACAUUAGUGUAACUGCAGUAGUCCAUCUCUAGCCUUCCUUUAAUCCUCAAGUAAAUGCUUGAUUUAUUUAUUCGAGAGGUACAUGCUGCUAGGGGUCCGCGCUCCCAAAAUUAAAUACAUUUCAAGUAUAAAUUUUCAAUCUCCAACACGGAGCAUUGACCAAUUUUCGUCCCCUUACCGGGGGCUUCACGGGAUUACAUUCAGUGUAGUCCAGUAAACGAAGGCGUAUAGGGGCCGUUUCCGGCCAAAAAUUAAAAUACGGCUGGACUUAGGCCCAAUCGAUUCUUCAUAUGAAAAGGUGUUUUUAGCCAAAAGUCCCCAUAAAUCCCCUUGGGGGAUUCCGCACAGUGGUCCGAUGAAGUUGAAAAUUGGACAUAUUUUCAAAAAUUCAUUGCGGAGCGAGA